rnacentral:lncRNA from 1 species
CUGGUCAGGAGCUCCUCUGCCACGGACGCGCCUGCCGUUUCUGCCUUCGUUAUCUAUUUACUGACCUCUCAUCUCCCCAGAAGAUGUUCUCAGUUCUCAGCAGUCAGUGCUUCUCCUCCAGCUUCACUGACCUUUCUAUGGGGAAUCUCACUCUGUAGUCACCCAGGCUGGAAUGCAGUGGUGCGAUCUUGGCUCACUGCAACCUCCACCUCCCAGAUGCAAGCGAUUCUUGUGCCUCAGCCUCCCGAGUAGCUGGGAUUAAAGGCAUGCGCCACCACGCCCAGGAGACAGCUUCCCAAGGCUGGAAAGAGGGGAGUGCGGAACAUGCCUCCACCAUACCACUGCCCACCUCCUGUGACCUCUGCAGCAAAACCUGAAGCCCCAAAGAGGCAGCUUCUCAAAGUAAAAGUGGAAUGAAGGUCAGUUCCUGGUGACCUGAAUUCCCAUGGAGGAAAGAGGAAAAGGACAUUAUGCAAGGAGAUGGCAUCUCGUGUCCCUGGUGAACCAAAUUCCAUUAGGAAGACGGUGCAGUGUGAGGUGGACCUGGACCUGGAUAAAAUGGGUGUUUAACAAGUAUUUGUUGAGUAGGUGGUGGAGGAGGCACGACUAGAUGCAGGGUCUAGCUGAGUUGACAAGAGCUAACACCAGGUGUGGACCAGGACAGGGGGACCUUAAGCGAAGACACCCUGCCAGAUGUGUCUUGUUCCCUUGACUGUGGGGAGGCCCUUGGUGGUGGGGUGACGGUCCCCCAGUCUGAGGAUUUUCCCUGGAUGUAGCCUCUCAGUGCUAAAAUGGGACAGUCCCAGGCAAACCAGGUCAGUUGGUCACUCUACUCAGUGAGCCCCGUGCUGUGUUCAAAUUUUCCUCUUAACAGAUGUGGAUGGAUUUCGGAAACUUAGAAACCACCAUUUCUCUGUGCCUGGGAGGAGAGUUAAAUCUUCUCACCAGAAUCCUUUUAUGUGUGAGAGAAAUAAAUAUCUAUCCUUUUUAUAUCUCUUUUGUUUUGGAUUCUUUGUCACCAGCAGCCAAACCCAAUUCUUACAUAAACGUGAUACUAAUUAAAUUCAUUUGCAUAAACUCACCAGUUUUAUCCUUAAUUACUGUGAUAUACACUCAUGAAGUAUGUACCCUAAAAUACCACUGUAAGUUUUAUUUGAUUACAGCAUUAAACUUAAUUUACAGAAAUGCUUGGCUUCUUUCAAUAGCUUGUUGAUUACAUAGUAUGAUCAUCUUCUGAUAACUUAAAAGAAAAAAAAUGGAAGGACCCGUAUUCCUUCCAGCUUGUGAAUGGAGGCCCAGGGCACCAGACCCUGCUAUUGAAUUUGAAUAAAUGGGAUCUCUUUUGAACAGAAUCUGAGAGAUGGCAUUAACAUAUACCUCAUGGCCAAAGUGCAUUACAUUUAGCCUUUACUGCAGACAGUUGUUUUUGGAGACACACUAUGACCUUUGGUAUAUCUGCAUCUGUGAAACAAUAAAGCAUUCUUUAAAUGAAGAUUUUGCUGUAUUACAAAUGACUGGAG